rnacentral:ncRNA from 3 species
AAACUACAAGGGGAGCCGAAGCUCCCCCAGAAGUAGUUGCGUGCUCUAUUUUUAUUAUUGAUGUCGGGCUUCUUGUUUUUGUUGAUCGCCCUCGCCACGAAGUUUCACCUUCAUGACACUCCCAAUCGGGAGUCAAGAGCAAACGGAUUGCUUUGGUCGCUGUGUUGCUGAUCUACGAUCCAACCAGUUCAGGCUCUGCCUUAGGGCAGUU